GUACAUUGGAUUACAUAAGCUCAAUUCCUACCCGAUUAUGUAGUUUCGCCGUGGGCAUUUACUCCGAUUAUAAUCAGCUAAUCUGCAUAAUCCACAACGCUUACCGUCAAAUUUCUCCCUAAUGCCCAUUUCGUUAUGGAUUCUGGAUGAUUGCAGAUGACCUUUCGGAUUCCUAUGUAACUGUAACACCCUUUGCCCUUAUCCGACGCCGGGACGGGGUUCGAGGUGCUACCUGACUUUUACUAACACUUCUAUACUAAACAGGGCCAUGAAAUCUCAAAUAAUUAAAAACUUUUCUUUUCACAUACAAUUUGUCCCAUAUACGGGCUUACGAGGCUCAAAACAUACAUCUAGAGUGGUUCGGGACCCAAUCGAGAACUCAUGAAAAACUUAGAAAAUCUCUUGCAUCAAGGCUUCAUACGCCCGUGUGGGUAUAGAGCACACACCCGUGUGCUGGGGACACGCCCGUGUCCCGAACCCGUGUCCAAAAACCUAGACAAAUACAAGGCUAUUUUCCAAGCCAUUUUGUCACACUCACAACAGAUGCACGCAUACUUAUACAAUAACAUACAACAUGGCAAAAUUAGGUACUUAAACAUUCCUAACAUGUCAUGAUUAUGGCAAUUUCACAUGCAAUAGAUAUCAUAGAUUUUACUCACAUCUUUACCACAUUCAUGCUAUAAUCAUUAUAAACUCAUCACAUAAUACCAUAGCACAUGCAUGCAUAAUUAAAAUGGAUUUACAACCCCAUAAUCAAAAUAGGCCAACACAUAUGGCUAAAGCCAUAUCACAUACUCUAAUAUUUAAACUCCUAUACAUGCCAUAGGCUCAAAGUACUUGAAAUCACUACACCAAUAACGUUAGCUUGACAGUGUGAUAAUAUCUCCGACGAACUCCAACCCGAGCUAACCUGGCAACCCUAGGAAAUAUGGGAAAGAAGGAGGGGUAAGCUUUCACUUAGUAAGUUCAUAUGAAAACAAUAAGCAACUCAUUAACUUGUUUUAUCAAUGUUUACAACAUAUUCUCAAGUUCACUACAAGCUGUCUUUCUGAGCAAUAGUCACUAAAUUAUUUAUAUCUGGAGCUACGAAACUCCGAAUUAAGUUCCGUUAAUUUUCCAUAAAACUAGACUUAUUUUCCUUUCUUCCAUAAAAUUUCCAGAAUUUUUGGUUAAGCCAAAUAGUACAGUUUAUUCCUCAAAGUUACCCCUGAUUCACUGUCUGAUAGUUCCGACCCUUCUGUACUAAAGUUCAAUUAUCUCAUAGUACAAGACUCGAAUAAUGUUCUCGUCUAUUUCUCUUGAAACUAGACUCAUAUUUAUACUUACUAAUUUUUUUAUAAAAUUUUUGGUUGGGCCAAUUAGUACAAUUUAUUAGUUAAAUUCUCCCCUGUUUCAGGGUAUGACCACUCUGACCCCUGUGCACUACGAACCGAAUUUCGCCCUGUACAGAAUUCCAACGAUCAUUCCGUUUAUUGCCCCUAAAAAUAGACUCAAUAAGGAAUCCAUGAAUAUAAGGUAUUACUCUUAAUAAUUUUUGUACAAUUUUUGGUGAAUUUCUAAAUUCAGAAUAGGGGAACUCGAAUUCAUUCAGACCCUGUUUCACAAAAAUUCAAAUAUCACACAAUAUGGAAUUCUUUUUCUUCCCUUGUUUCUUUCAUGUGAAAAUAUACUCAUUAAGAUUUAAUCCCAUAUUUUAUUCUGCCUCUAACUCAUUUUCCAAUAUUUUUAGUGUAUUUUCAAAGUUACACUACUGCAGUAACUCAAAUCUGUCAAGGCUAAAUUACUAAUUCAUGAUCAUUGUUCACAAAAUUAAUACAACAUCAAUUAUAUAAUCAUCACCGAGACAUUCAUAUCACAUUUUCAUUUACCAUCUUACCAUUUUGUUGUUAUGUCGAGUUUUCAACCCGAGGGUUAAGUAUAUACCUGUUCAAAGUGCCACAUAUAUAGCCAAGCUACUAUGUAACCCACCCAUAAGUGAACUCGGACUCAACUCAACGAGCUCGGAUGCCUAGUUACAUCUCACGAACUCGGACUCAACUCAACGAGUUCGAACAUUCGCAUCCAUAAGUGAACUCGGACUCAACUCAACGAGCUCGGAUGCCCAAAUAUUCCAGUGACAUGUCACUUGUAUCCUAAUCUAUUCCUAAGGUUCAACGGGACCUUUUUCCCAAUCAUGUGUCUCAACCAUCUUCUAGGGAAUGUCGAUACUAAUACUCGGUAGUAUUUCACAUUUUCCAAGUAUAUCAUAUAAUUUGACAUAUUAUCAAACAAUUAUCACAAGUAUAAUAUAUCAUAAUAAUUAUCAUAUAAUUUAAAUAACAUCAAAACAUUUAACAUUUACAUAUGAACUUACCUCGAUACCACAAAGGUAAAAAAGACGUAAUUAUCCCUUAAUCGAUUUCUUUCCGUUCUAGGUCAAAAUCUCGAUUUUCACCAUCUAAAAUAUCACAUUCAACUUAUUAAAACAAUGUACUGAUCAAAUUAGUCCAUUGACACACUUGAGCAAUUUUUACAAUUUUGCCCCUAUAUUUUGCCAAAAUUACCAAAUUACCCCUAGGCUCGUAAAAUUUUUUUUAUCACAUUUCUUUACUCCUUGAGUCUAGAUGAACCAUUUUCAUAACUAUAGCAACUCAUAAUUUCAACUAUUUCACACAUUUACAACUCAUUUUACAACUUAGCAAUCUAGCCAUUUUUAAGGUGUUUUCAUGCAAUUUCUUUCACAAAAAGUUGUUUAUUAGACAACUAGGACUCAUAAUAUUCUAUAAAAACACAGCAAACAACACAUUUACUCUCAUGGAAAAACCCUAGACUCUUCAUCAUUUUGCAAAAUAGACCCCCCAUAUGAAAGCUCAUACUUUAGGGGUUCCAAAAAUGUAAAAAUCAUCAAGAAAGACAUUAAAAAUCACUUACUAGCAAGGGAUGUAAGUGGCUGAUAUUUCAGAGCUUCAAAACCCCUUUCUUUUCUUCCAUUUUCGGUGGAGGAGAAGAGAAAAAUGAUAGCUUUUUCUUUUUAAUUUGUCAAUAA
rnacentral:lncRNA from 1 species